rnacentral:rRNA from 1 species
UAAGCGGAGGAAAAGAAACCAACAGGGAUUGCCUUAGUAACGGCGAGUGAAGCGGCAAAAGCUCAAAUUUGAAAUCUGGCGCCUUCGGUGUCCGAGUUGUAAUUUGAAGAAGGUAACUUUGGAGUUGGCUCUUGUCUAUGUUCCUUGGAACAGGACGUCACAGAGGGUGAGAAUCCCGUGCGAUGAGAUGCCCAAUUCUAUGUAAAGUGCUUUCGAAGAGUCGAGUUGUUUGGGAAUGCAGCUCUAAGUGGGUGGUAAAUUCCAUCUAAAGCUAAAUAUUGGCGAGAGACCGAUAGCGAACAAGUACAGUGAUGGAAAGAUGAAAAGAACUUUGAAAAGAGAGUGAAAAAGUACGUGAAAUUGUUGAAAGGGAAGGGCUUGAGAUCAGACUUGGUAUUUUGCGAUCCUUUCCUUCUUGGUUGGGUUCUCCGCAGCUUACUGGGCCAGCAUCGGUUUGGAUGGUAGGAUAAUGAUUAAGGAAUGUGGCUCUACUUCGGUGGAGUGUUAUAGCCUUGGUUGAUACUGCCUGUCUAGACCGAGGACUGCGUCUUUGACUAGGAUGCUGGCAUAAUGAUCUUAAGCCACCCGUCUUGAA